rnacentral:rRNA from 1 species
GCAGCCGCGGUAAUACGGAGGAUGCGAGCGUUAUCCGGAUUUAUUGGGUUUAAAGGGUGCGUAGGCGGAAGAUUAAGUCAGUGGUCAAAUCGUGAGGCUCAACCUCAUCCAGCCAUUGAAACUGGUUUUCUUGAGUGGAAGAGAAGUAUGCGGAAUGCGUGGUGUAGCGGUGAAAUGCAUAGAUAUCACGCAGAACUCCGAUUGCGAAGGCAGCAUACCGGCUUCCAACUGACGCUGAAGCACGAAAGCGUGGGUAUCGAACAGGAUUAGAUACCCC